rnacentral:rRNA from 1 species
GACGAACGCUGGCGGCGUGCUUAACACAUGCAAGUCGAACGGAAAGGCCCUGCUUUUGUGGGGUGCUCGAGUGGCGAACGGGUGGGUAACACGUGAGUAACCUGCCCUUGACUUUGGGAUAACUUCAGGAAACUGGGGCUAAUACCGGAUAGGAGCUCCUGCUGCAUGGAGGGGGUUGGAAAGUUUCGGCGGUUGGGGAUGGACUCGCGGCUUAUCAGCUUGUUGGUGGGGUAGUGGCUUACCAAGGCUUUGACGGGUAGCCGGCCUGAGAGGGUGACCGGCCACAUUGGGACUGAGAUACGGCCCAGACUCCUACGGGAGGCAGCAGUGGGGAAUAUUGCACAAUGGGCGGAAGCCUGAUGCAGCAACGCCGCGUGCGGGAUGACGGCCUUCGGGUUGUAAACCGCUUUCGCCUGUGACGAAGCGUGAGUGACGGUAAUGGGUAAAGAAGCACCGGCUAACUACGUG